UAAUUGAAGCCAAAAAGAGGCA
rnacentral:tRNA from 1 species